UACGGGGGGUGCGAGCGUUGUCCGGAAUCCCUGGGCGUGAAGGGCGCGUAGGUGGUUUGAUAAGGGUGUGGUGAAAGUCCGGAGCUCAACUCCGGAUCUGCCGUGCCGACUGUCAAACUCGAGGGCUGUAGAGGCAGACGGAAUUCCGGGUGUAGCGGUGGAAUGCGUAGAGAUCCGGAGGAAGACCGGUGGCGAAGGCGGUCUGCUGGGCAGUUUCUGACACUGAGGCGCGACAGCGUGGGGAGCAAACAGG
rnacentral:rRNA from 1 species